rnacentral:rRNA from 1 species
UGGGAAGUAUUGCACAAUGGGCGCAAGCCUGAUGCAGCGACGCCGCGUGAGGGAUUGAAGGCCUUCGGGUUGUAAACCUCUUCGCUAGGGACGAAGCUUAUUUUGUGACGGUACCUAGAUAAGAAGCACCGGCUAACUACGUGCCAGCAGCCGCGGUAAUACGUAGGGUGCGAGCGUUGUCCGGAUUUACUGGGCGUAAAGAGCUCGUAGGUGGUUUGUCGCGUCGUCUGUGAAAUUCCGGGGCUUAACUUCGGGCGUGCAGGCGAUACGGGCAUAACUUGAGUGCUGUAGGGGAGACUGGAAUUCCUGGUGUAGCGGUGGAAUGCGCAGAUAUCAGGAGGAACACCGAUGGCGAAGGCAGGUCUCUGGGCAGUAACUGACGCUGAGGAGCGAAAGCAUGGGGAGCGAACAGGAUUAGAUACCC